rnacentral:rRNA from 1 species
UACGUAGGGUGCAAGCAUUGUCCGGAUUUAUUGGGCGUAAAGAGCUCGUAGGCGGCUUGUCACGUCGGAUGUGAAAACCCGAAGCUCAACUUCGGGCCUGCAUCCGAAACUGCCCGACUAGAGGUAGGUAGGGGAGAUCGGAAUUCCUGGUGUAGCGGUGAAAUGCGCAGAUAUCAGGAGGAACACCGGUGGCGAAGGCGGAUCUCUGGGCCUUACCUGACGCUCAGGUGCGAAAGCUAGGGGAGCGAACAGG